UUAAGCGACUAAGCGUACACGGUGGAUGCCCUGGCAGUCAGAGGCGAUGAAGGACGUGCUAAUCUGCGAUAAGCGUCGGUAAGGUGAUAUGAACCGUUAUAACCGGCGAUUUCCGAAUGGGGAAACCCAGUGUGAUUCGUCACACUAUCAUUAACUGAAUCCAUAGGUUAAUGAGGCGAACCGGGGGAACUGAAACAUCUAAGUACCCCGAGGAAAAGAAAUCAACCGAGAUUCCCCCAGUAGCGGCGAGCGAACGGGGAGCAGCCCAGAGCCUGAAUCAGUGUGUGUGUUAGUGGAAGCGUCUGGAAAGGCGCGCGAUACAGGGUGACAGCCCCGUACACAAAAAUGCACAUGCUGUGAGCUCGAUGAGUAGGGCGGGACACGUGGUAUCCUGUCUGAAUAUGGGGACCAUCCUCCAAGGCUAAAUACUCCUGACUGACCGAUAGUGAACCAGUACCGUGAGGAAAGGCGAAAAGAACCCCGGCGAGGGAGUGAAAAGAACCUGAAACCGUGUACGUACAAGCAGUGGGAGCACGCUUAGGCGUGUGACUGCGUACCUUUGUAUAAUGGGUCAGCGACUUAUAUUCUGUAGCAAGGUUAACCGAAUAGGGGAGCCGAAGGAAACCGAGUCUUAACUGGGCGUUAAGUUGCAGGGUAUAGACCCGAAACCCGGUGAUUCAGCCAUGGGCAGGUUGAAGGUUGGGUAACACUAACUGGAGGACCGAACCGACUAAUGUUGAAAAAUUAGCGGAUGACUUGUGGCUGGGGGUGAAAGGCCAAUCAAACCGGGAGAUAGCUGGUUCUCCCCGAAAGCUAUUUAGGUAGCGCCUCGUGAAUUCAUCUCCGGGGGUAGAGCACUGUUUCGGCAAGGGGGUCAUCCCGACUUACCAACCCGAUGCAAACUGCGAAUACCGGAGAAUGUUAUCACGGGAGACACACGGCGGGUGCUAACGUCCGUCGUGAAGAGGGAAACAACCCAGACCGCCAGCUAAGGUCCCAAAGUCAUGGUUAAGUGGGAAACGAUGUGGGAAGGCCCAGACAGCCGAUGUUGGCUUAGAAGCAGCCAUCAUUUAAAGAAAGCGUAAUAGCUCACUGGUCGAGUCGGCCUGCGCGGAAGAUGUAACGGGCUAAACCAUGCACCGAAGCUGCGGCAGCGACGCUGAUGCGUUGUUGGGUAGGGGAGCGUUCUGUAAGCCUGCGAAGGUGUGCUGUGAGGCAUGCUGGAGGUAUCAGAAGUGCGAAUGCUGACAUAAGUAACGAUAAAGCGGGUGAAAAGCCCGCUCGCCGGAAGACCAAGGGUUCCUGUCCAACGUUAAUCGGGGCAGGGUGAGUCGACCCUAAGGCGAGGCCGAAAGGCGUAGUCGAUGGGAAACAGGUUAAUAUUCCUGUACUUGGUGUUACUGCGAAGGGGGGACGGAGAAGGCUAUGUUGGCCGGGCGACGGUUGUCCCGGUUUAAGCGUGUAGGCUGGUUUUCCAGGCAAAUCCGGAAAAUCAAGGCUGAGGCGUGAUGACGAGGCACUACGGUGCUGAAGCAACAAAUGCCCUGCUUCCGUGAAAAGCCUCUAAGCAUCAGGUAACAUCAAAUCGUACCCCAAACCGACACAGGUGGUCAGGUAGAGAAUACCAAGGCGCUUGAGAGAACUCGGGUGAAGGAACUAGGCAAAAUGGUGCCGUAACUUCGGGAGAAGGCACGCUGAUAUGUAGGUGAAGCGACUUGCUCGUGGAGCUGAAAUCAGUCGAAGAUACCAGCUGGCUGCAACUGUUUAUUAAAAACACAGCACUGUGCAAACACGAAAGUGGACGUAUACGGUGUGACGCCUGCCCGGUGCCGGAAGGUUAAUUGAUGGGGUUAGCGCAAGCGAAGCUCUUGAUCGAAGCCCCGGUAAACGGCGGCCGUAACUAUAACGGUCCUAAGGUAGCGAAAUUCCUUGUCGGGUAAGUUCCGACCUGCACGAAUGGCGUAAUGAUGGCGCUGUCUCCACCCGAGACUCAGUGAAAUUGAACUCGCUGUGAAGAUGCAGUGUACCCGCGGCAAGACGGAAAGACCCCGUGAACCUUUACUAUAGCUUGACACUGAACAUUGAGCCUUGAUGUGUAGGAUAGGUGGGAGGCUUUGAAGUGUGGACGCCAGUCUGCAUGGAGCCGACCUUGAAAUACCACCCUUUAAUGUUUGAUGUUCUAACGUGGACCCGUAAUCCGGGUUGCGGACAGUGUCUGGUGGGUAGUUUGACUGGGGCGGUCUCCUCCUAAAGAGUAACGGAGGAGCACGAAGGUUGGCUAAUCCUGGUCGGACAUCAGGAGGUUAGUGCAAUGGCAUAAGCCAGCUUGACUGCGACUGACGGCGCGAGCAGGUGCGAAAGCAGGUCAUAGUGAUCCGGUGGUUCUGAAUGGAAGGGCCAUCGCUCAACGGAUAAAAGGUACUCCGGGGAUAACAGGCUGAUACCGCCCAAGAGUUCAUAUCGACGGCGGUGUUUGGCACCUCGAUGUCGGCUCAUCACAUCCGGGCUGAAGUAGGUCCCAAGGGUAUGGCUGUUCGCCAUUUAAAGUGGUACGCGAGCUGGGUUUAGAACGUCGUGAGACAGUUCGGUCCCUAUCUGCCGUGGGCGCUGGAGAACUGAGGGGGGCUGCUCCUAGUACGAGAGGACCGGAGUGGACGCAUCACUGGUGUUCGGGUUGUCAUGCCAAUGGCACUGCCCGGUAGCUAAAUGCGGAAGAGAUAAGUGCUGAAAGCAUCUAAGCACGAAACUUGCCCCGAGAUGAGUUCUCCCUGACUCCUUGAGAGUCCUGAAGGAACGUUGAAGACGACGACGUUGAUAGGCCGGGUGUGUAAGCGCAGCGAUGCGUUGAGCUAACCGGUACUAAUGAACCGUGAGGCUUAACCU
rnacentral:rRNA from 1 species